rnacentral:piRNA from 1 species
AACAAAUGGUUUACCUGAGAGCACAGAU